AGUGAACGCUGGCGGUAGGCCUAACACAUGCAAGUCGAACGGCAGCACAGUAAGAGCUUGCUCUUACGGGUGGCGAGUGGCGGACGGGUGAGGAAUACAUCGGAAUCUACUUUUUCGUGGGGGAUAACGUAGGGAAACUUACGCUAAUACCGCAUACGACCUACGGGUGAAAGCAGGGGAUCUUCGGACCUUGCGCGAUUGAAUGAGCCGAUGUCGGAUUAGCUAGUUGGCGGGGUAAAGGCCCACCAAGGCGACGAUCCGUAGCUGGUCUGAGAGGAUGAUCAGCCACACUGGAACUGAGACACGGUCCAUACUCCUACGGGAGGCAGCAGUGUGGAAUAUUGGACAAUGGGCGCAAGCCUGAUCCAGCCAUACCGCGUGGGUGAAGAAGGCCUUCGGGUUGUAAAGCCCUUUUGUUGGGAAAGAAAAGCAGCAGGUUAAUACCCCGCUGUUCUGACGGUACCCAAAGAAUAAGCACCGGCUAACUUCGUG
rnacentral:rRNA from 1 species